GGUGGUAAGAAGGAACUGAGGGGAGUUGGGGCAGCUCCAACCUCUUAUACCAGCAUGAAGUGGUGUGAGGCAGGCGAGGGCACUCGAGUCACCCCAACAGGUACAGCUGAGGGAAAAAAGUUCUCUGAUAUGGUGCACAAGGCAAGCAUUUACACCUACAGUGGAAUGGACAUGUGCAAGCACUCAAAGAAUAGAAAUGGGAGAUAAAGGCCUGAAACAAGAAUUUUAAACCUAGGGACAAAAAGGUAAUCAGAUAUCUUGGAGCAAGCAGCACUGGAUACUGAUUGUCUGAAUUUUCACUCCCUUCCCCUACAAAACCAUUCUCCUAGGACACAAAUGCUUGAAUGACAGGGAGAAUGGUAACGUUGCUAGUGGUGGAGAUUGUGGAAAUAAAGGUGAGAAGUUUGGUUUUGGCCAUGUUAAGCUUAACGUUAUGACAAGACAUCUAGGAGGAGAUGUUGGACAGAUCUCUAUCCAGUCUCAUAUGUCGGUAAGUUAGGGACAGACAGGUAGAUCUCCAAGUCAUCAUAAAGAUGGCAAUUGAAGCCAAGUGAGAACACGAAACCACCAAAAGGAAGGGUGUAAAGCAACAAGGGAACCCAGGACCAAGCCCUGUGGGACCCCAGAGGCACAAGGAGAGGAAGAACAGAUCUGAAGGAAUGGCUAGAGAGGUAGGAGGACAAUCAGGAAUAGAGAAGUUAACUGUACCUGGAUGAGAGAGACUCUCCAAUGAAGACUUCAUUUAGUGCUCUCACUGGCAAAAGAUGUGGUCCAGAAACUUCAGAUCCUGCAGACUUCUUCCAGGAAAGUUGAGAAAAAACAGUUUGGAUAUGUGAAUCUGAGAACAACAAAAAAAAGAAUGGACCACUGGGAGAUUUGCUGAGAGGAAAUUGUGAAACUAGAAGAAACUACACUCUUAAUCACUGGAAUUAAGGAUACAGCUGAAAACCUCCAGGACCUCUAAAUCACCUUUUGAGGGAACAGCAGAUCCACCUGCAAGGAUAUUUUACUGAUGUUUAACCGAGAACAAAGAGGCGACCAGCAACUCUUUUCAUCCUGCUGACUCACAAGGACGGAUUGGGCUAUUGUAACACAAAUUAUUAUGAGGUCUGUUAAGACCCAGCAAUUAAUAUUUUUCAGGCAGGAAUUAAUCCGAUUUUUGUCUGACUCCAGAGAAGUCCCCAACUUUCCGAGGUGACUGCAGCUAAAGUUCUCAUUCAGAUUUCAUCCUUCUAUUUCCAGUUACUCUCAUGGUAGCGAUAAAAAAGAAGAGCAAUCACUUUCCACAGUUCAACCUCGUGAGAUCUUUUUCUGCCAGCAUGGCUGGCGCAUCCCUCAUACUAAACUAUGAUUUAAGAUUGAUCAUCUUU